AUGUUGCCGCAUGGCGAUAUGAGCAAAGAUUCAUCGGUAAGGGAUGGGGAUGCGUAUGAUUAGCUUGUUGGCGGGGUAACGGCCCACCAAGGCAACGAUCAUUAGGGGUUCUGAGAGGAAGGUCCCCCACACUGGAACUGAGACACGGUCCAGACUCCUACGGGAGGCAGCAGUGAGGAAUAUUGGUCAAUGGAGGGCAACUCUGAACCAGCCAAGUAGCGUGCAGGAUGACGGCCCUAUGGGUUGUAAACUGCUUUUAUGCGGGGAUAAAUGAUCCUACGUGUAGGUUUUUGCAGGUACCGCAUGAAUAAGGACCGGCUAAUUCCGUG
rnacentral:rRNA from 1 species